rnacentral:lncRNA from 1 species
UGCAGGUCAAAUGGGUUUUGGGACCUAGAAAUGCCUGACCCAGUUAGGUCCUCAUUGAGUUGGGGACUCCCUCCUGGUGACCCCUGGCUGGUUAGGAUCCCCACAGAUCCUGAAGUCACAAUGCACCUGCCGCCUGACUCACCCUGGCCUGGGGACUGCCACUGAUGGUCCAGACCCCCGUCACUGCUGGCCCCAGCAUCCAGGGGCUGUGCCCUCCCCAUGUGCCCUCCCAACUCCCAAAGGCACCCCCCAACAGAAGCACGAGGAGCAGAGCCCGUUGUGCUCAGAGCCGCAUCGAGGUCCCAAGCAAAGAUAUGCACUUGAGGAAGAGGGGACAUUCUCCAUGCUUGGGACAAGGUCCGGGACCCUGGAUGGAGUGCAAAGGAAUCUGGCAGCAGAGGUGUCUACUGGCAGGGUGGCAAGGAGCCGUGGCCACUGGUGCCCUCAGGAAAGAGGGGCCAAGUGGCCAAAGGAUUGAAGCUGCUCCUGCUUCACUCCCCACCUGGACUCUGAUGCUGAGAACGGGAUGGGGACAAAGGGGUCGUUGACCCUGCAAGAGCCACAUUCUCCAAUACACCAGAGCAACCUGCCCAGCUCUGCACGGACCUGCUGUGUGAGCUUGGAGAAGUAACUGAACCCCUCUGAGCUUCCAUUUCCUUAUUGGAUGACCUGGGGUCUUGGAAGAGAGACCUGAGACCAAGCCUGGCACAGUGUAGAGCAGAUAGCUGGUGCUCUGUCACUCAGAGCUCGCUCUGCCAGCCUUCUCUGCUCCUCCCACCCGAGCUUCACACCUGGUUCAGACACUCAGGGAUGCACAGGGCACCUGAGCUUGGGGUGUGGCCUCUGUGCACUGCCUUUCCU